AGCAGUACAGUACAACACAACAAUAGGUAGUUAAAUUAGUAUCAAGCAUGGCUAACUGAGAAAAGCAAAAGCCACAGCAGAUGUAACAGCAAUCUUUUUUUCUUUAAGAGUGGAGUGUUAUUCACACAGAGUACUGCAAGUAGGAUGGUGUCCUCCUUUAUGUCUUAGACACUGUAAUGCUGGGAUUUUACUUUGUAGUAGUUAAUGCAGACUAAGCUAGGGGGCGCACAACACACGAGAGAAAUCAAGUUGAUGCCGUCAAAUACAAAUACAGCAAGCAACAUCAGAAUAUUACAAUAAUAAUAAUAAUAAUAAAACCCGGGUACAAGGUCUGCUCAGACAAGUGAAAGCAGAAACCCAGGAGUUUUUAAAUGGCUAAGAACUUCUGCUCUCUAACUUCCUUUUCCACAAUGGGCACUACUUGUGGGAUGAACGAAGAUGAAGCCCAAAAACAGAAAGUGAGGUAAACAUCUAUUCUCACACAGAGUGGAAACAAUAAAAUUUCACCUUCCAGAUUUUUGGUGGUUUUAACUGUAAUAAAAACGCCUGCCUGUAAGUACCAGGAGCCACUUGGCUGAAUGCAAUAUUUUGAUUUCACACAGUAACAGCAGCAGUGACAGCAGAGAAUUUACAACAGCGUUGUUUAACCAGCUGGUUUGUAUUUUGAUUUAACUGCGUUGUUUGAAGUUGUGUGAGACGGUUGCUAUACUGGUUAUAACAUGACUAAAUCCAACAAAGGGUAAGAGAAACUGCUGUGAAACACGCCUCCUACAUUCACAGAGGAAAAAAGAAGCAGGGUGAUGCCCACUAAGCAAGUGUACAAUAAAAAAUAUCUGCAUCAGAGCGUGGAUACAAAACAGAACGUUUCACAUAUUCUGCUUGGUGGUGAGUGAGCAUACAGUUAGUCAGCAGCUACUGGACGCAGUGCAGAGUUAUGGUAACACUUCAGUGGCGCUUAUGGGAGGAAAAGAAAAAGAGCAAAAUCAGCAUAAAAACUUUCUAACUAAAGGAAUAAUGAUUCAGGCUGGAACUUUAUCUUAACCAACUCAGAAGUGAGUCAGUUCUGUGCGAUCUGUGCACACAUUUCUCCUUCCUUUCGCAGCCAGGUCAAUCUUAGUGCAGUGAAAAAGAAUUUUCCCUCUUCCUCAUUUCUUAGGAUUUUUUUGCAUAUUUGUCACAGCUAUAUGUUUCAGAUCAUCAACCAAAGAUAAC
ensembl:lncRNA